ACCAGUUCUCUUUUGAUCACUGAAGUUAAGCAGUGUUGCACCCAGUAAGUACUUAGAUGGGGGACUGCAUGGUAACACCAGGUACUGCAAG